AACGAACGCUGGCGGCAGGCCUAACACAUGCAAGUCGAGCGGAUGAGUGGAGCUUGCUCCAUGAUUCAGCGGCGGACGGGUGAGUAAUGCCUAGGAAUCUGCCUGGUAGUGGGGGACAACGUUUCGAAAGGAACGCUAAUACCGCAUACGUCCUACGGGAGAACGUGGGGGAUCUUCGGACCUCACGCUAUCAGAUGAGCCUAGGUCGGAUUAGCUAGUUGGUGAGGUAAAGGCUCACCAAGGCGACGAUCCGUAACUGGUCUGAGAGGAUGAUAAGUCACACUGGAACUGAGACACGGUCCAGACUCCUACGGGAGGCAGCAGUGGGGAAGAUUGGACAAUGGGCGAAAGCCUGAUCCAGCCAUGCCGCGUGUGUGAAGAAGGUCUUCGGAUUGUAAAGCACUUUAAGUUGGGAGGAAGGGCAGUAAGUUAAUACCUUGCUGUUUUGACGUUACUAACAGAAUAAGCACCGGCUAACUUCGUGCCAGCCGCCGCAGUAAAAC
rnacentral:rRNA from 1 species